rnacentral:rRNA from 1 species
UGGAUCCAGACUUUGAUCAUGGCUCAGGAUGAACGCUAGCUACAGGCUUAACACAUGCAAGUCGAGGGGCAGCAUGAACUUAGCUUGCUAAGUUUGAUGGCGACCGGCGCACGGGUGAGUAACACGUAUCCAACUUUCCGUUUACUCAGGGAUAGCCUUUCGAAAGAAAGAUUAAUACCUGAUAGUAUGGUGAGAUUGCAUGAUGGCACCAUUAAAGAUUUAUUGGUAAACGAUGGGGAUGCGUUCCAUUAGGUAGUAGGCGGGGUAACGGCCCACCUAGCCGACGAUGGAUAGGGGUUCUGAGAGGAAGGUCCCCCACAUUGGAACUGAGACACGGUCCAAACUCCUACGGGAGGCAGCAGUGAGGAAUAUUGGUCAAUGGGCGAGAGCCUGAACCAGCCAAGUAGCGUGAAGGAUGAAGGUCCUACGGAUUGUAAACUUCUUUUAUACGGGAAUAAAGUUUCCUACGUGUAGGAUUUUGUAUGUACCGUAUGAAUAAGCAUCGGCUAACUCCGUGCCAGCAGCCGCGGUAAUACGGAGGAUGCGAGCGUUAUCCGGAUUUAUUGGGUUUAAAGGGAGCGCAGACGGGAGAUUAAGUCAGUUGUGAAAGUUUGCGGCUCAACCGUAAAAUUGCAGUUGAUACUGGUUUCCUUGAGUGCAGUUGAGGCAGGCGGAAUUCGUGGUGUAGCGGUGAAAUGCUUAGAUAUCACGAAGAACCCCGAUUGCGAAGGCAGCUUGCUAAACUGUAACUGACGUUCAUGCUCGAAAGUGUGGGUAUCAAACAGGAUUAGAUACCCUGGUAGUCCACACGGUAAACGAUGGAUACUCGCUGUUGGCGAUAUACUGUCAGCGGCCAAGCGAAAGCAUUAAGUAUCCCACCUGGGGAGUACGCCGGCAACGGUGCAACUCAAAGGAAUUGACGGA